rnacentral:rRNA from 1 species
UCGAGUCUUUGAACGCAAGUUGCGCCCGAGGCCGUCCGGCCGAGGGCACGUCCGCCUGGGCGUCAAGCGUUGCGUCGCUCCGCGCCAGCUCCGUCCCGCCCGAUGGGCGUGUCGGCCGAGGCUCGGAUGUGCAGAGUGGCUCGUCGUGCCCAGCGGCGCG